AAAAAGUAGAGCUUGACAGAAUCGAGUUCUACAAGCAUAGUCAUUAUAAGAGUAAGAAAGGAUGGUCAUCUUUAGAGGCUGAGACUCACUAUAACAACAUGAAAGAUUUGCAAGAUCUAUAUACUUCGGGAGAGGCUUCCAUGACUACUGAUGAAAUUGUGGAUACCGUACUUGGUACAAAGUCGGGGUACAUAAGAGGACUUGGUUAUGGUCCAAAACCUAAUACUACAAGAGCUACAUAAAGGAAAACGGCAGAGUUAGAGGACUCCCUCAGAAAAGCGAAACAGAAAGCUGCUAGUGCCCAAAAUAAUUUACAGAAUCGAUUAAAUGCUGCUGAAACUGUGGUAGAAAACCAGCAGACUCAGAUACAAGACCAGCAGUCUCAAAUACAAGAUCAACAAUCUCAAAUAGAAGCAUUAAACUCUCAAUUGAAUACUAUUGUGGCACGCCAAGAGGAAAUGUUAAGGAAAAUGCAGUGUUUUGCUCGCUCAUCGCCUUCUAACAGAGAAGGAGCUCCAUGAGAAUGCCAACUUUAGGUAUAAAAGGUGAGAAUUGAAUCAAGUU